AACACAGUCGGUCAGUAAAUAAUAACACGGAUGCAUCAAAGGCAUAUUUCCGUGUAAUCAAAAGAUGGCUGAAAGUUUUUCAUGUUGUUCACAAGUCCCUUACUGUCAGAUGAUGUCAUGAUGCCAAGAGGACCAUCUGUUCCUGCUGGUUUAGCAGUCGACAAAAGACGGGAAUAUAUCUUCUGAGAACUCUGUUGCCACAUCCGUAAAGUUCUGGCUAUGCUGCUUCUCUCAAAGAAGCAUUGGAUAGGAAUAGAAGCACAAUUCUUCAGGAAAGGUUGAUUGCUAAUUGCCACUUGACAGAAGUGCAUCCUAGUGUUCUUAGACCUGGUAAUGACGUGGUGAGCAAUAUAAGCAACCCAACAGGAUCAAACAAAUCAACAAAUGCACAACCUACAGUCUGUAUCUGCAUGCAGGAACAUGUACACUGCUGGCUAUAUGUGUCUUCCUAUUAAUUUGCAUGGUGAAUUUGUCAGGGUUCAAACUGGUGGUACCCUUAAUCCCGAUGAGCUGCUUAAAACACAAUGAUUGGGGAAGGAUUCUUUGCAUCCUUCAACAUCUCCAACUUUCUUCACACCUAAUACUUACUUGGAUUAUGCCCAUUUAAGAAUCAACCAUGAAGCUCCGCCCUCACAACAAUUUCUGCAUGGCCAGUUAACUCUGAAAGAAGAAAAGACUGUGAUAUUACACUUAAAUUAAAGUCAAGAUAUAAGUAAUGCUCAUGCAGGAUAUUUUGUAUUUAGAACAUUAGACAAUACCAUCAGACGGUACAUCUUAGCUAGCUACAAGUCAAGAUAUAAGUAAUGCUCAUGCAGGAUAUUUUGUAUUUAGAACAAUAGACAAUACCAUCAGACGGUACAUAUUAGCUAGCUACGUAGGAAUAUCUCAUCAGAUUGCGUCUCUAAACAAUACCAUGGAAGCAUAAUAAUAUACGAAGAAUUCAGAUCAUAACAGAAUAGACUAUUAACUGUAGAAACACAAGAAAGAAAAAAGAACAUCUGAUAUUGAUUAAACUUGAGUCACCAAUUGUGCUAGUACCAGAGCAAAAAUAAACAAAGAAAAAAAGAAUUAAGAUAUGCGGAAAAUCCUGAUUGAUUGUUUUGCAUUACGUGGGUCUAUAAAUAAAUAAAUCCAGAUUUUUUUCUUUUGCCAUGUAGAUAAAUGCUGACAAUUUCAUUUAUUAAACAACUUGAAAUCCAGCAAGCUAUAAAAGAAAACCCUACUUUGUCAUUUCCAAAGGGAAAUGCAGAAGUGGACAAUAGAACAAAGAGCAAUGCUGAUAUUAGCGUCAUCAUGCAAUGCAAAUGUCAGGACACAAUAGGAGAAGGUCUUUCCACCAAGAGGAUUCAUACAUAAAAUUCGACUUAGAAUUUUUUUCCACCACUUAUAAAUGGAGUAAGUAGUAAGGGGGCACACAGACAACAUCAUACCAGUAUACAUGCAAAUAACUUCCAAAAUGAAUGGACGCUACAUGGAAAAUUAACUCCAACAAAUUAGAGACAUAAAAGCUCUGAAGUCAGAAAAUCAAAGAAAUGCUCAAUUCAGCUUAUUUAGUAGUUAAGCUCAAUUCAGGUUAUUUAGUAGUUAUGAACUAAAUUUUUUGCCGUGUCAAAGUUCAAGCCAGACAUACUCCAUGCUACUUCACCUGGAGUUAUGGUCAUCUGGAUUUAUUUUAGAUCAGGGCAGCAACGCGUCAACGUGAACGGGUCAGCAGAUGGUCUACAACAUGAGAUGAAUAACUUGUAGAACUAUGCUAUAGGUGAUACAUCCAUCGUGGCAAAACAUACACAGAAUGCAACAAUACAAAAAAGAGUCCCACGAAAAUGAUUUUUGGACAGCAAGACAAAUCCAAUGUUUAGGAUCUCUGUUAUGUGCAAAUUUCAUGCUAGUAGAAACUACCUGCUAGCCAAGGUGAAGUAGGAAAUGCAUGGCACAUCCGCACGUGAUACUCGUAUAUUUCCCUUCGUUUCAAUAAAAAGAGCAACCACAGGUCUCCAACACCUGCAAGGCAGCAAGCAAACAUGCUCACCCAUCUACAAAGAUCCGAAUAAAGAGCUGAGAACACGGCCGCCUGUAGAAGUUAGAAAAAAUAAUAAGUUUCGUGAACAUGAUUUAGUUCAGUGCUCUCAGCAGAUGCUAAUUACCAAUUUCACUUUGAUUACUUAAAAUAUUCAAGUUUUGUACUAAGUUCUAGAAGACACUAACUGUGAAAAUGCACGAGGACUAAGAAAUUGAACUAUGUGUGAAUUGCAAUAACAAAUUGGAAAGAAUUAACAAUAUGUUCAUUUUCUCUCAACUAUAUUCAGCAACAUGAGCCAUAGGCCCAUAGUUAUACUUAUGUUCUUUACAAAAUACCUUUUUUUUAUAUGGAAACAAAAUAGUCAACUUACAUUUAUAGAAACAACUCAAAAAAUUUAAUUUAGUAAAUUAUGUACGGAUACAGAUCGACACUUUGGGUGAGUGUGUUCCGGUAAUCAACCGCAAUACACUGAAUCAAAAAUCAUGAACUGAGAAGUAGGUGAUCUAAAAUGCAUUUGUUUAGACUAAGCCAGCAAGAAUAACACAUUAGAUUUUAAUCUGGAUCCUUCGUGUAAAGAAAUAACAUAAAAAGAAUCAAGAAUUUCUCAGUUAAUUCAACAAAGAGCAGUGAAAGUGAACCAAAUAAAUCUGGGCACAU
rnacentral:lncRNA from 1 species